rnacentral:rRNA from 1 species
UGGGGAAUAUUGCACAAUGGGCGCAAGCCUGAUGCAGCCAUGCCGCGUGUAUGAAGAAGGCCUUCGGGUUGUAAAGUACUCUCAGUCGGGAGGAAGGUGGUAAGGUUAAUAACCUUAUCAAUUGACGUUACCGACAGAAGAAGCACCGGCUAACUCCGUGCCAGCAGCCGCGGUAAUACGGAGGGUGCAAGCGUUAAUCGGAAUUACUGGGCGUAAAGCGCACGCAGGCGGUUGAUUGAGUCAGAUGUGAAAUCCCCGGGCUUAACCCGGGAAUUGCAUCUGAUACUGGUCAGCUAGAGUCUUGUAGAGGGGGGUAGAAUUCCAUGUGUAGCGGUGAAAUGCGUAGAGAUCUGGAGGAAUACCGGUGGCGAAGGCGGCCCCCUGGACAAAGACUGACGCUCAGGUGCGAAAGCGUGGGGAGCAAACGGG